UGGGGAAUAUUGGACAAUGGGGGCAACCCUGAUCCAGCCAUGCCGCGUGUGUGAAGAAGGCCUUUUGGUUGUAAAGCACUUUAAGCAGUGAAGAAGACUCCAUGGUUAAUACCCAUGGACGAUGACAUUAGCUGCAGAAUAAGCACCGGCUAACUCUGUGCCAGCAGCCGCGGUAAUACAGAGGGUGCAAGCGUUAAUCGGAAUUACUGGGCGUAAAGCGAGCGUAGGUGGCUUGAUAAGUCAGAUGUGAAAGCCACGGGCGUAACCUGGGAACGGCAUCUGAUACUGUUAGGCUAGAGUAGGUGAGAGGAAGGUAGAAUUCCAGGUGUAGCGGUGAAAUGCGUAGAGAUCUGGAGGAAUACCGAUGGCGAAGGCAGCCUUCUGGCAUCAUACUGACACUGAGGUUCGAAAGCGUGGGUAGCAAACA
rnacentral:rRNA from 1 species